rnacentral:rRNA from 1 species
AAAAAAGGUAAGCUACUAAGAGCGAAUGGUGGAUGCCUUGACUGGUAAAGGCGAUGAAGGACGUACUAGACUGCGAUAAGCUACGGGGAGCUGUCAAGAAGCUUUGAUCCGUAGAUUUCCGAAUGGGGCAACCCAAUGUAUAGAGAUAUACAUUACCUAUAUAGGAGCGAACGAGGGGAAUUGAAACAUCUUAGUACUCUCAGGAAAAGAAAUCAAUAGAGAUUGCGUCAGUAGCGGCGAGCGAAAGCGCAAGAGGGCAAACCCAGUGCUUGCACUGGGGGUUGUAGGACUGCAAUGUGCAAGAGGUAAGUUUAGCAGAACAUUCUGGAAAGUAUAACCAUAGAGGGUGAUAGUCCCGUAUGCGAAAAACAAACCUUAGCUAGCAGUAUCCUGAGUAGGGCGGGACACGAGGAAUCCUGUCUGAAUCCGGGUCGACCACGAUCCAACCCUAAAUACUAAUACCAGAUCGAUAGUGCACAAGUACCGUGAGGGAAAGGUGAAAAGAACUGAGGUGAUCAGAGUGAAAUAGAACCUGAAACCAUUUGCUUACAAUCAUUCAGAGCACUAUGUAGCAAUACAGUGUGAUGGACUGCCUUUUGCAUAAUGAGCCUGCGAGUUGUGGUGUCUGGCAAGGUUAAGCAAACGCGAAGCCGUAGCGAAAGCGAGUCUGAAUAGGGCGCUUAGUCAGAUGCUGCAGACCCGAAACGAAGUGAUCUAUCCAUGAGCAAGUUGAAGCUAGUGUAAGAACUAGUGGAGGACUGAACCCAUAGGCGUUGAAAAGCCCCGGGAUGACUUGUGGAUAGGGGUGAAAGGCCAAUCAAACUUCGUGAUAGCUGGUUCUCUCCGAAAUAUAUUUAGGUAUAGCGUUGUGUCGUAAUAUAAGGGGGUAGAGCACUGAAUGGGCUAGGGCAUACACCAAUGUACCAAACCCUAUCAAACUCCGAAUACCUUAUAUGUAAUCACAGCAGUCAGGCGGCGAGUGAUAAAAUCCGUCGUCAAGAGGGAAACAACCCAGACUACCAGCUAAGGUCCCUAAAUCUUACUUAAGUGGAAAACGAUGUGAAGUUACUUAAACAACCAGGAGGUUGGCUUAGAAGCAGCCAUCCUUUAAAGAAAGCGUAAUAGCUCACUGGUCUAGUGAUUUUGCGCGGAAAAUAUAACGGGGCUAAAGU